rnacentral:rRNA from 1 species
GACGAACCGUGCGAACGUUGUUCGGAAUCACUGGGCGUAAAGCGCACGUAGGCGGUCUUUUAAGUCAGGGGUGAAAUUCUGGAGCUCAACUCCAGAACUGCCUUUGAUACUGAGAGGCUUGAGUCCGGGAGAGGUGAGUGGAACUGCGAGUGUAGAGGUGAAAUUCGUAGAUAUUCGCAAGAACACCAGUGGCGAAGGCGGCUCACUGGCCCGGUACUGACGCUGAGGUGCGAAAGCGUGGGGAGCAAACAGG